rnacentral:lncRNA from 1 species
UAACUCUGCCCUUUCUCCUUGCUUUGCCACCCGGGUUCUGAGAGCAGGGGGAGGGAGGGGGCUGAGCCCCAGGGGAGGCAGGCCCAGCAGCCCUGGGAGGGCCCCAAGGGGCCAGGCAGACCUAGGGGGGUGGCCACAGCCCGGCUCUGCAGGCCAAAAUAACACAAAGGGAAGUGGGCAGUUUUCAUAUGAACAAAGCUCGCAGCAAGCUGGCUGCAGAAAAGCCCUCGGGGCUGGGCUGGGUGGGCCUCCUGGAGACCAUGCUGCUUGCUCUGCAGCCCUCCUCAUGCUGUAGAUGGGGAAACUGAGGCCCACCUGGGCUCAGGGCUGGCUGGGGGAGUGAGAGGUCCCCUUAUCUGCAGGUUCUCCUCGGGGCUUGUUCCGUUUUCCCAAAUGACCUUGGCCUUCAGGUGAGGCCGACCUAAAGGCCACUAGCAGAGGCCCUUAAUGCCCAGGGGGUCGGCCAGGGGCCUGGACAGCCCUUGGCCCAGGGCACUGGGGGGAUGGUGAAGGCCAGGGCCACCUGUUGACAGAGCCGCUCGAGCUCCCCGGGGCCCACAGCCUCUCAGUCCCCAGCAGGGAGCUGGCAGGCCAGGCCGGGCCCGGCAGGUGGGGGCCCAGGGAUGGCUGCUCCCCUCUGGCCUGGGGCAGGGCCUGGAACGCUUGCCUGGAGGCUCACCCAUCCUCCCAUUUCACAUAACGGUUCCAUUUUAUAGAUGGAGAAACCAAGGCUCAUGGGCUGGCCUGGGGAGCUGCUGUCCUGGCCAAUUGGCUAUCUCUCACCAGUCUCUGGAAGUGAUGGGCCCCCCACCCCGGGGCUGCCCGGGGCUGGGCUGGGAAGGCCGGAGCCCCUUGGAGGGCCGCAGGGUCUGGUGGGGGCUCCAGCCAGGGCUGCAGGGCCAGGACUGGGGCGAGGGGAGGGAGCCAGGCGCUUCCACUCCACCCAGCCGGCCGCCAGUGCUCCUGUGGGCCACUCCCGGCCCUCUAGGGUGGCAGGGGGACAGUGGUGGGACCCCCACCUCAGGACCAGGCUCCAGGAGCUCCUGGGAAAGGCCUACCUGGGAAUCGGGGCUCCUCACUGCGGCUGCCUCAUCCUGACCCACGCACCUGCCCCAGCUGCCAGCAGACGCCGCAGACACUGGCGGGCGGCCGGCCCGGUGGCGGGCCCGGGAGCCACUCACAGAGAGACAGAGGGACAGGGACAGAGACAAGGACGGGCACAGGCGCAGAGGGAGCAGAAAGACACGACACACACAUGUAAACGUAGUCAGGGAGGGGAAGGGCCACAUGCAGAGGGACAGGGAGAAGGAGAAUGAAGUGGAGGGGCUCACACACACACAAACCGCAGUGAGAGAAUGGGAGACAUGGAGACACACACACACAAUACACAACACACAGAAAUACAUACCACACUGACAACACACGCACACACACACACCCCUAGACAAAAGAGACACAGAAAGAGACGUAGAGGCAGGGAGAGAAUGAGAAACACA